UUGGAGCGCUGAAGGUUGGUACUUGUACCGACUGGAUGAGCAGCCCCUUUUUGAGUAACGCGUGGGGAAUCUGCCUUUGAGCGGGGGACUUCAUUUGGAAACGAAUGCUAAUACCGCAUAAAAACUUUAAACACAAGUUUUAAGUUUGAAAGAUGCAAUUGCAUCACUCAAAGAUGAUCCCGCGUUGUAUUAGCUAGUUGGGGAGGGGGAGGCUCACCAAGGCGAUGAUACAUAGCCGACCUGAGAGGGUGAUCGGCCACAUUGGGACUGAGACACGGCCCAAACUCCUACGGGAGGCAGCAGUAGGGAAUCUUCGGCAAUGGACGAAAGUCUGACCGAGCAACGCCGCGUGAGUGAAGAAGGUUUUCGGAUCGUAAAACUCUGUUGGUAGAGAAGAACGUUGGUGAGAGUGGAAAGCUCAUCAAGUGACGGUAACUACCCAGAAAGGGACGGCUAACUACGUGCCAGCAGCCGCGGUAAUACGUAGGUCCCGAGCGUUGUCCGGAUUUAUUGGGCGUAAAGCGAGCGCAGGGGGUUUAUUAAGUCUGGUGUAAAAGGCAGUGGCUCAACCAUUGGAUGCAUUGG
rnacentral:rRNA from 1 species